CCUACGGGAGGCAGCAGUGAGGAAUAUUGGUCAAUGGUCGAGAGUCUGAACCAGCCAAGUCGCGUGAAGGAUGACUGCCCUAUGUGUUGUAAACUUCUUUUGUAACGGAAUAAAACGAGGCACGUGUGCCUUUUUGCAUGUACUUUAUGAAUAAGUAUCGGCUAACUCCGUGCCAGCAGCCGCGGUAAUACGGAGGAUCCGAGCGUUAUCCGGAUUUAUUGGGUUUAAAGGGUGCGUAGGCGGUUUUUUAAGUGAGUGGUUAAACGGCGGGGCUUCACCUUGAUCUGCCAUUAAAACUGUAAGACUCGAGUUGAGACGAGGUAUGCGGAAUAAGUGAAGUAGCGGUGAAAUGCUUAGAUAUAGCUCAGAACUCCGAUAGCGAAGGCAGCUUACCAGACUGCGACUGACGCUGAAGCACGAGAGCGUGGGUAGCGAACAGGAUUAGAUACCCGAGUAGUC
rnacentral:rRNA from 1 species